GAUGAACGCUGGCGGCGUGCCUAAUACAUGCAAGUCGAGCGAACAGACGAGGAGCUUGCUCCUCUGACGUUAGCGGCGGACGGGUGAGUAACACGUGGAUAACCUACCUAUAAGACUGGGAUAACUUAGGGAAACCGGAGCUAAUACCGGAUACUAUAUUGAACCGCAUGGUUCAAUAGUGAAAGACGGUUUUGCUGUCACUUAUAGAUGGAUCCGCGCCGCAUUAGCUAGUUGGUAAGGUAACGGCUUACCAAGGCAACGAUGCGUAGCCGACCUGAGAGGGGGGGUGGCCACACUGGAACUGAGACACGGUCCAGACUCCUACGGGAGGCAGCAGUAGGGAAUCUUCCGCAAUGGGCGAAAGCCUGACGGAGCAACGCCGCGUGAGGGAUGAAGGUCUUCGGAUCGAAAAACUCUGUUAUUAGGGAAGAACAAAUGUGUAAGUAACUAUGCACGUCUUGACGGUACCUAAUCAGAAAGCCACGGCUAACUACGUG
rnacentral:rRNA from 1 species